CAGCAGCCGCGGUAAUACGAAGGGGGCUAGCGUUGCACGGAUUUACUGGGCGUAAAGGGCGCGUAGGCGGACAGUUAAGUCGGGGGUGAAAGCCCGGGGCUCAACCUCGGAAUUGCCUUCGAAACUGGCUGUCUUGAGUACGGGAGAGGUGAGUGGAACUCCGAGUGUAGAGGUGAAAUUCGUAGAUAUUCGGAAGAACACCAGUGGCGAAGGCGACUCACUGGCCCGUUACUGACGCUGAGGCGCGAAAGCGUGGGGAGCAAACAGGAUUAGAUACCCGCGUAGUCCCUGUCUCUUAUAC
rnacentral:rRNA from 1 species